rnacentral:misc_RNA from 1 species
UUAAGUUCAGCGGGUAGUCCUACCUGAUUUGAGGUCAGAGCAAAAAGGUGUCAGAAGACGGGUUAUAAGCAGACCCUCGGGAUCGGCCAGCGAAACUUAUUACGCCAGAUUCAACCGUCGGAACCGCUAACACUUUUGAGGCGAGCCAGAGAUGGCAACACCCAAGUCCAUCAUCAUCGGAAACCCGAUGGGAUGAAAGU